UAAUACUCCAUAGAUUAGAGACACUGGAAUGUUCUUUAGUCGAAAGUUCUGGCGCCUUAGGAUGGAUCUGCGGUCGAUUAGGUUGUUGUUGGGGUAACGGCCCAACAAGCCUGUAAUCGAUACGGGUUGUGGGAGCAAGAGCCCGGAGAUGGAAUCUGAGACACGAUUCCAGGCCCUACGGGGCGCAGCAGGCGCGAAAACUUUACAAUGCAGGAAACUGUGAUAAGGGAACUCCGAGUGCCCGUAUACGCGGGCUGUCCAGGUGUUUAAAAAUCAUCUGAAGAAAGGGCCGGGCGAGACCGGUGCCAGCCGCCGCGGUAAUACCGGCGGCUCGAGUGGUGGCCACUAUUAUUGGGCUUAAAGCGUCCGUAGCUGGACCGAUAAGUCUCUUGGGAAAUCCGCCGGCUCAACCGGCGGGCGUCUAAGGGAUACUGUUAGUCUAGGGACCGGGAGAGGUGAGAGGUACUCCGGGGGUAGGAGUGAAAUCCUGUAAUCCCCGGGGGACCACCGAUGGCGAAGGCAUCUCACCAGAACGGCUCCGACAGUGAGGGACGAAAGCUGGGGGAGCGAACCGGAUUAGAUACCCGGGUAGUCCCAGCCGUAAACUAUGCGCGUUAGGUGU
rnacentral:rRNA from 1 species